CCAUUGUCAUGGUGAAACUAGAUGAAAAAUGGAUGAAGAAUGGAAAAGAAAACUCUAGAUAAGAUGAAAAGGAGCCUAAGCAUCCAAGAGAUCCUCUCCAGAGAGUGAAUUUAGGUCUGGUCGCCCCCUUCUGUCAAAAGAAUGCAUCUAAACUCGCAAUAGGGCUAUUUAUAGGUGAGGAGCGCAACAGAAAACAGGCCCAAGCCCAGCAGACAACCGCCCGACAGAACAAGUGUGGCGCCCC
rnacentral:lncRNA from 1 species